CCAAAGUCAGACUCUUAACCGAGCCACCCAGGAGCCCCUUUUUAAGAGGUUUAAAAAGAAAUGAUUGAAUGAAUCUCUACAGGAUUCAGUUUGUAAACAUCCUAUAAAUAGUACAUUCCAAUGUGGCACUCACAUAGGAAAUGUUUUCUUGUAUGUUUGUUUUACCAUCUGUCUUCCUCCCCAGUUGAAAAAAGAGUUCUGUGAAGGCAGGACUUGAAUAAAUGAAAGGAAAAGCAUUAUUAAGGGAAGUGAUGGUUGGGGCAUUUGGCUGGCUCAGUCACAAGAGCAUGCGACUCCUGAUCUUGGGCUCCUGAGUUCAAUACCCCACGUUGUGUGUUGAGAUUACUUACACACAUAAAAACUUCAAUAAAAACAAAAAGUGAUGGUGACCACACAAAACCAGCAAGUGAAAUAUAUAAAAGAUCUAAACAUGUUCAUACUUAAUGAAAGUCUAAAAAUGCUUCACUAUUUGCCAUAUAAAAACGGAAAGAUUUAAAACAUAAGGCCAACGGUCCCAAGACUACUACAGAAAUGUACAAGUUCAAAGGUAAUACCAAAAACUUCUGGGAAGGGGCAAAGAAGUUUUUAAAGAAUAGUGAAAAGGAUGUAUCAGGUAUCAACUGCUUCAUAACAAAGCACCUCCAAGCUUAGUACAUCCUUGAACCCCGCUGCAGGAACUCAGAGAACAGCAUUUUUUGAUUGGGAGCUGCCUGACUGGUCCGAGGUGGGCGCGAGGCUCGGUCCAACCGACUCUGUACCGUUCUGGUCCCGCGCCGAAGUCCGUGCCCUCGGCCUCGGCGCCGCUAAGUCCUGCCGGAGCCUUCCUUCCACCUUUAGGCCCCGAGACCGGAAGUGGAGUGCUUGGGACCUGAGCAGCGGCCAACUUCCCUUUACGGGUUUUCUCUUUAUUUGCCUGCGGCACAGAAGAGCGGCUGCAGGGUAUCAUUUCCAUAAACCCAACCUGCUCACCCAUAAGGAGCUGAGGACCAAGAAGAGGAGAGUUCUAAUUGUCCAAGAAACCCGUUCAGGGCCUGCUAGGACCUUUGCCUGUGGGGUGGCCACACAGCCUCUACUAAAUGUCCUCCCACCAGGGGAACUGCCCCUCCUCAUGUGGCCCAAGAAUCUCCUGGACUCCACUCCACUCCUGGGGAUUCGCCCUUCCUACCAGAGCACUGCCAGAUCAAAAGUUUCAACUUAAAGCCAAAGAGACCACUGCAAAGCAGAAUAAACUUUGGGAAAAACUUCUGUCAGGAAAAGGAUAUGGCUAAAGAGUGAUGGUUGAUGAUUGAGGAAAAAUGUCUGAUGUUUAAUGAUGGAUGUUGUGAACCAGUUAGCCAGGUACUCCAGUGUAUGAAGAGAAAUUGAGAUCAACGUCUUAAACUCAAAAGCUCCUCUGAAGUGGUCUGAGCAAGAGAUGGAAUAUUCUGGAAACUCUAUCAGAUUCACAGGAUGGCAGCCCUUGAUGUGAAUCAGAGGAAAGGAAACUCGAAGAGGCAAGGAUGGUGGCUGGGUUACUGAUGGAUUCUUCUCAGGUAAGUAGAAAGUUGACCUUUCUUCAGAAUGUCCUGUUUCUCUCUGUGGUAGCCAUAUCUUCUUGUAAUGUCCCCAGGCUUUUUAUAGCAAUUAAUGGCCCUGCUUAAGGAAUGAGUCCCAGGUAAAUGUCUCCAGGACUCAUGCCAUCUCAGAAUACAUAGGGAUUAUACUGGAUGUGAUUCUUUUAUCUCCGUAUUCAUUAAUUCUUUCUGAUGCUUGGUCAUGCUUGUUGGCUUACCAUUCCGCUGAGUGUUAUGAUAGAUACUGAGGAAUGAUAUGAAGGUGUCUAAUCUCAUGGAAUGCAUGUGUUACUGUGGAAAUAAUUCAUCUCUUAGUAGAUUUUACAGAGUGUUACAGUGUGCUCAGUGCUAACCGCAGCCUAUAAAUAGAGGAGGAAAAUAAAGCAAGAAGCGCCCACAAUAAAGUUGUGGUAACAUAAGUUUCAUCACAUGUCAGACAUGCCGGUAAAUCCACAUGACUGGCUGUGAUCACCAGGCACGUCUAUAGCUGGAGAGCAGACGAGGUCUGGGCCCGAGAGUGCUGUAGGCUUCUGGUCUACCUUCCUCAGUCCUUCAUCUUUCUGAGAACCUCAAAGAAGAUGCUAGUUCGCUGAAGGCAGCAUGUGUCUGACGGUUUAGCACUUAGUGACCUUUGAGUAUGUAGCUGUGGACUUUACCCAGGAGGAGUGGACUUUGUUGGAUCAAACACAGAUUGCUCUCUACAGAGAUGUGAUGUUGGAGAACUACCAGAACCUCAUCACACUAGAAUCUGGCUACAACUCUCCAAACGAACAUUUCCAACUUUUUCCCCUACCCUUGUAACUUGGAAUCAUUGAGAAAUAAAACUGCCCUUGGCACAAAGCCACAUCAGCUAAGGUGAGAUAACCUGAUAAAAAAGAGAAAUCACCACAGCAGCGGGACCAUCUUCAUACCUGCUGCCAUGUGGGCCACUCCGAUCACCAGAGACCCUCAAACUGCAGACAAGUAAAAUCCAUCAGCUUAAAUACUGCCUGCCCUCAGUGCAUCUGAACAUGCGCCAAGUCCGGCAUCUAGAAAUCUUGACUGGCUACCUUCAGGACCCAAAACUGGGAUUACAGUCUACUCCAACCAUUAACCUUUUUUAUUUUCUUUUGUUUCCACAGAGAUGUUUCUUAUUAAAUACCCAACUGCUUGUACCAUAUAGGCCUAACUUGGGUAACCCACCUGUAUCACUGCCUCCUGAAAUAAGACACAAAUCUUUAACUGAACUAACCUAUUCUCAGGACGAAGAGACUGGUUCAAUGAGAUAUGGAGCAUCCAUCAACUCAGGACAGGUUUAAACCUACUUAUACCAUAUGGCCUCGAACAAUUUAAAUAGAACUAUCAUUCCAUUUGUAACUGCGUGGAUGGAACUAGAGGGUAUUAUGCUAAGUGAAAUUAGUCAGAGAAAGACAAAAAUCAUAUGACUUCACUCAUAUGAGGACUUUAAGAUACAAAACAGAUGAACAUAAGAGAAGGGAAGCAAA